UUACAGACAUGAGCCACCAUGUCCGGCCAUGCUUUAAAUUUUUGAUUCAAGAUCAGAAAAGAGCUUACAAAUAAAAAAUUCAAAAUUGUAUCUUGCUUUCAUUUUGAAAGGACGGGAGCUUCAACAGGGAAAACAAUAUUACUGAAAUGUUCAAAUUGUCAUUCAAAUUUUAUUUAUAAUACUUAUUCCUGCUUUUAAAUGCAUUACACUGAAAGGUGAAUAAGGUUUAUA